UUNUGAACUGGGUGACUAGAGUGUNUCAGAGGGAGGUAGAAUUCCACGUGUAGCAGUGAAAUGCGUAGAGAUGUGGAGGAAUACCGAUGGCGAAGGCAGCCUCCUGGGAUAACACUGACGUUCAUGCCCGAAAGCGUGGGUAGCAAACAGGAUUAGAUACCCUGGUAGUNCACGCCCUAAACGAUGUCGAUUAGCUGUUGGGCAGCAUGACUGCUUAGUAGCGAAGCUAACGCGUGAAAUCGACCGCCUGGGGAGUACGGUCGCAAGAUUAAAACUCAAAGGAAUUGACGGGGACCCGCACAAGCGGUGGAUGAUGUGGAUUAAUUCGAUGCAACGCGAAGAACCUUACCUGGUCUUGACAUGUGCGGAACCCUCCAGAGACGGAGGGGUGCCUUCGGGAGCCGUAACACAGGUGCUGCAUGGCUGUCGUCAGCUCGUGUCGUGAGAUGUUGGGUUAAGUCCCGCAACGAGCGCAACCCUUGUCAUUAGUUGCCAUCAUUAAGUUGGGCACUCUAAUGAGACUGCCGGUGACAAGCCGGAGGAAGGUGGGGAUGACGUCAGGUCCUCAUGGCCCUUAUGACCAGGGCUUCACACGUCAUACAAUGGUCGGUACAGAGGGUAGCCAAGCCGCGAGGUGGAGCCAAUCUCACAAAACCGAUCGUAGUCCGGAUUGCACUCUGCAACUCGAGUGCAUGAAGUCGGAAUCGCUAGUAAUCGCAGGUCAGCAUACUGCGGUGAAUACGUUCCCGGGUCUUGUACACACCGCCCGUCACACCAUGGGAGUGGGGGAUACCAGAAGUAGGUAGGG
rnacentral:rRNA from 1 species